AGAGUUUGAUCCUGGCUCAGGACGAACGCUGGCGGCGUGCCUAACACAUGCAAGUCGAACGAAGUGAAGAUUUCGGUUUUCACUUAGUGGCGGACGGGUGAGUAACGCGUGAGUAACCUGCCUUUCAGAGGGGGAUAGCGUUUGGAAACGAACGGUAAUACCGCAUGACAUCAUGGAACUGCAUGGUUCUAUGAUCAAAGGAGCAAUCCGCUGAAAGAUGGACUCGCGUCCGAUUAGCUAGUUGGCGGGAUAACAGCCCACCAAGGCGACGAUCGGUAGCCGAACUGAGAGGUUGAUCGGCCACAUUGGGACUGAGACACGGCCCAGACUCCUACGGGAGGCAGCAGUGGGGGAUAUUGCACAAUGGAGGAAACUCUGAUGCAGCAACGCCGCGUGAGGGAAGAAGGUCUUCGGAUUGUAAACCUUUGUCUUUGGUGAAGAUAAUGACGGUAGCCAAGGAGGAAGCUCCGGCUAACUACGUGCCAGCAGCCGCGGUAAUACGUAGGGAGCGAGCGUUGUCCGGAAUUACUGGGUGUAAAGGGUGCGUAGGCGGGAAAGCAAGUCAGACGUGAAACCUAUCGGCUUAACUGAUAGACUGCGUUUGAAACUGUUUUUCUUGAGUGAAGUAGAGGUAGGCGGAAUUCCCAGUGUAGCGGUGAAAUGCGUAGAGAUUGGGAGGAACACCAGUGGCGAAGGCGGCCUGCUGGGCUUAAACUGACGCUGAGGCACGAAAGUGUGGGUAGCAAACAGGAUUAGAUACCCUGGUAGUCCACACUGUAAACGAUGAUUACUAGGUGUGGGAGGUCUGACCCCUUCCGUGCCGGAGUUAACACAAUAAGUAAUCCACCUGGGGAGUAUGACCGCAAGGUUGAAACUCAAAGGAAUUGACGGGGGCCCGCACAAGCAGUGGAGUAUGUGGUUUAAUUCGACGCAACGCGAAGAACCUUACCAGGUCUUGACAUCCAACUAAGAUUGCAGAGAUGCGAUUGUGCCCUUCGGGGAAAGUUGAGACAGGUGGUGCAUGGUUGUCGUCAGCUCGUGUCGUGAGAUGUUGGGUUAAGUCCCGCAACGAGCGCAACCCUUGUCAUUAGUUGCUACGCAAGAGCACUCUAAUGAGACUGCCGUUGACAAAACGGAGGAAGGUGGGGACGACGUCAAAUCAUCAUGCCCCUUAUGACCUGGGCUACACACGUACUACAAUGGCCGUUAACAACGGGAAGCGAAACCGCGAGGUGGAGCAAAACCUCAAAAACGGUCCCAGUUCAGAUUGCAGGCUGCAACUCGCCUGCAUGAAGUCGGAAUUGCUAGUAAUCGCAGAUCAUCAUGCUGCGGUGAAUACGUUCCCGGGCCUUGUACACACCGCCCGUCACACCAUGGGAGCUGGUAAUACCCGAAGUCAGUUGUUUAACCGUAAGGAGGACGCUGCCGAAGGUAGGAUUGGCGACUGGGGUGAAGUCGUAACAAGGUAGCCGUAUCGGAAGGUGCGGCUGGAUCACCUCCUU
rnacentral:rRNA from 1 species